rnacentral:lncRNA from 1 species
AUGUGGCCUUAUCUUUGGAAGAGUCUUAUUUGAUGCAUGUUGUUAAUUUGGAUUGUGAUAAUCCAUCUUCCUCUCAAACAAAUGUUAAAAAUGCCACUGGAAUUGAUGACUUGUUACAAACCAUUCGGGAGCAAGAAGCCAUUUCUCCCACGAAGUCAGAAUUGCAAGAUUAUCUUGAUCAAGGUGUUCAUGUUGUUCCUAACUCUGAAUCCUUUAGUGCUUUGGACUGGUGGAGGAACAACAGCAUGAAGUAUACGAUCUUGUCUAAGAUGGCUGCUAAUAUACUAGCUAUUCCAAUCUCAACUGUUGCAUCCGAGUCCACAUUCAGUGUUGGAGGUAGAGUUAUCGAUGAAUUUCGCUCUAGAUUAAAUGAAGAAUCUGUUGAAGCUCUCAUUUGUGGUGGUGAUUGGUUCCGUCAUAAGUAUGAUGUGAAGAACAAAUCAAAGGUUAUUAUUUGUCAUGAUAUUUUACUAAUAUUUAUUCAUAUAUUCAUAUGGUAUUGUUUAGUCCAAUAACUAAAGUAUUUUUUUUCUUUUGGUUCCCAAGGUUGAUAAAGAUGAGAUACAAAUCAACUUGAAGAUUUGAUAUCAUUUUGGUUUUUUGGGCUGGUUUGUGUACAUGAAGCUGAUGAGUGAUUUGUUGAGUUGUGUGAUAUGUUGAAUUAUGCUGACUUUUACUACACCUUGAAGAUUUGAUAUCAUUUUGGUUUUUUGGGCUGGUUUGUGUACAUGAAGUUGAUGAGUGAUUUGUUGAAUUAUGCUGACUUUUGCUACACCUUGAAGAUUUGAUAUCAUUUUGGUUUUUUGGGCUGGUUUGUGUACAUGAAGCUGAUGAGUGAUUUGUUGACUUGUGUGAUAUGUUGAAUUAUGCUGACUUUUGCUACACCUUGAAGAUUUGAUAUCAUUUUGGUUUUUUGGGUGGUCUAUGUACAUGGAG